rnacentral:rRNA from 1 species
CAUGCAAGCCGAACGAGAAACCGGGCUUCGGCCCGGCGGAAAGUGGCGAACGGGUGAGUAACGCGUGGGUAAUUUGCCUCUGAGAUGGGGAUAACAACUCGAAAGAGUUGCUAAUACCAAAUACGAUUCGGUUGACUUCGGUCGGCCGUAUGAAAGGUGGCUUCGGCUGCCGCUCGGAGAUAAGCCCGCGUCCUAUUAGCUUGUUGGUGUGGUAAAGGCGCACCAAGGCGACGAUGGGUAGCUGGUCUGAGAGGAUGGUCAGCCACAUUGGGACUGAGACACUGCCCAAACUCCUACGGGAGGCUGCAGUCGAGAAUAUUUCGCAAUGGGGGAAACCCUGACGAUGCGACGCCGCGUGGGGGAUGAAGGCCUUCGGGUCGUAAACCUCUGUGUUACGGGAUGAAUCGAGCGUUGCUGAUAACGCAGCGUUCUUGACGUUACCGUAGUAGAAAGCCCCAGCUAACUACGUGCCAGCAGCUGCGGUAAUACGUAGGGGGCAAGCGUUGUCCGGAAUCACUGGGCGUAAAGCGCGCGCAGGCGGUAGGGUAAGUCAGACGUGAAAGGGUUCGGCUCAACCGAACCAUUGCGUUUGAUACUACUUUACUUGAGUCUAGAAGAGGAAAGUGGAAUGUAUGGUGUAGCGGUGGAAUGCUUAGAUAUCAUAUAUAAA